rnacentral:rRNA from 1 species
AUCGAACGCUGGCGGCAGGCCUAACACAUGCAAGUCGAACGAGUGGCGGACGGGUGAGUAAUGUCUGGGACACUGCCCGAUGGAGGGGGAUAACUACUGGAAACGGUAGCUAAUACCGCAUACUAUCAGAUGUGCCCAGAUGGGCUUAGCUUGUAGGUGGGGUAACGGCUCACCAAGGCGACGAUCCCUAGCUGGUCUGAGAGGAUGACCAGCCACACUGGAACUGAGACACGGUCCAGACUCCUACGGGAGGCAGCAGUGGGGAAUAUUGCACAAUGGGCGCAAGCCUGAUGCAGCCAUGCCGCGUGUAUGAAGAAGGCCUUCGGGUUGUAAAGUACUUUCAGCGGGGAGGCGUUACCCGCAGAAGAAGCACCGGCUAACUCCGUGCCAGCCGCCGCGGUAAUUC